GAUAAUUCGAUAUAAUCUUUGUCCUACGACGUAGCUGAACAUGUGUGUAUAUAUAUAUAUGUGUAUACAGGUACGCGUAAUGCGCGUGUACAUCGCAUGUAACUUUCAUGGUUUGACGAUUAGGAGAGUCGUGGCAACUUUCAUGAAUUGCCUCAUUAAACUGAACGCAACUGAACGAGAAAGAGAUUCCUUUUAGACUAUUCAUCUUCGUUAGACUCUAUUGACUGUUAAGUUCACACGAACUUCUGUAACAUAGUAUAUAGAAUUUUUGUUACUCUUUAAUGAUACACUUUGACAGGCGAUAAUUCCUUGAUCGGUGGAAACUGGCGCGAAAGUUCGUUUUCAUUGAAAAUAAAAUUAUACGAUUAACGAUGUGACCCAGUGUAAGCUGGCCGAAUUAAGCUAUCACUUUGACACUUCAACGACCGUAAUCCGUACCAUGAGUGGUUCGUGUUAUCGAAGUGUGUUAUUCUAUUAAACUCGUUACGCGGCUAACGCGAGAGACCAGUCUGCUCGAGUAUGCGUUACCAUGUUCCGAGUAGUGUCUCUCGGACUGGUCACGAAAUUCGGCUUUUCCAAAAAUAAGAUAUCGUUGUAUUUCUCUUAUUUCCCAUUACUCGUUAAGCACCUUCCGCAUUUAUAGUCGGGACGAAGUUGCAAGAACUUGACCUGUCCAAGUUAAGAAGGAAGGACGAGAAGGAAACGGAAGGAGAAAAAGUAAAUGGAGGGAAAGACAGGACGAAGAGCAGUCGAUGAAGAUAGGUAGAAAAGGAUAAGGGAGGAAAUAGGAGAGAAAGGAAAAGGUGAGAAAAUGGAAGGAAAAAGGUGAAGAAAAGUGGAGAAGAAAACAAGACAGAAGUGAAGGAAGAAACUGUGGAAGAAAAGGGAAGGAGAGAUUCUACGAAGAAACGAAAUGAAAGAAACGACAGAAGAGAAAAGUAUUAGAUAAUAAAAGAUAAUUGAACCCACCUCUUGACGAAGAUUGGAAUCAACGAAAUUCUUGACCACGUUGACCGAUAAAGCUUGCUUGUUCUCCAACGUAUGUAUAUCACAGAGUCUCUUCAAAUAAUUGCAAAUGAUAUUUGCUUUACGUAAAUAUCACAAAAUUUCAAGAUAGGGAAGAUAGAGGAACCGAUAUGAGUGUCCUCCGAGUAAUCACGACGACGACUUCACUGAUAUCUGAUUUAGUUGGCGAGAGGGUGGAGGUAACAUAUAAAUGUUCGCCAGGAGUACCGCAGGCGCAGAGGCACCCUGUUUUGCUUAUCUAAUAGUCUACGGGUGGGGGUUUCUACUUCUACCUAUCGUGUGCGAGAUACUACCCCAUGCCACAUCCCAGUAUUGCAUUAGUGUUUAAAGGAGCAACCAGUGGUAGAGGGGGGCUAACACCUGUUAUGAAGGGGAAGAUACGCGAGGUCGGAAGUUACCAGCUUCUACUCGAUCAAAAUAAAAACUGACCUUUCCUUCGUACCAUAUUUUUCCAUAUUUCGUUCCCUUUACGUCACCUCCUCCGAGCUCUUCAUUGAAUUUCCACGCUUAUUCGAUCUUUGUCUUAUGAGUCUUCGUUCUUUCUAUGUUUAUGUGUUCUUUAUAAUUUUUCAUCUUUCUCUGCUGUUCUUUAUGAUUUGCUAUGAUCUUUCAUUUUUUUCUGAUAACGCAAACGGCCCCAUUUAAAAUGCACGUUUCAAUAUCCUGUCGUGCCGAUUCUGGUACAUUACGUUGCCGUUACGCGACGGUCCGUAUAGUAUAAAUUGAUCCUUAAUCAAACGUAACUUAUCUGAAAGUUUCGAUUCGUGUGUGAAGAUCGUAAAUUUCUAGAAAUUUUCAUGAAAUUUUUCUUGUUUUUCCAAUAAAUUGUUCUACGCACAUUUAGUCCCUAUCAGAUUUCAAUAAAGUUAAUCGUACCGGCUAUGCGAUUCAAUUUAAUUGGUCAGUUGGUUUGUCCCCGGCUCAGCCAGCAAGGUCUUGGUGCACGUCGAUCGAGGGAAAAUAACAUCACAAGAGAAGAACGAUUGCAAUAUUGCGCAUGUCGGUGCAACAUGUCCCAAUUUUGUUUUGUUUAUUAGUUCAUAUCAUUUUUUGUUUAUCAUAUAAAAAUUUAUUAUUAUAUAUAAUAAUUACAUUAUAAUAAACAAAAACUGUUUAUUAUAUAAAUGUUUAUAAAAAUUUAUUGUACUGUGUUAUAUCAAUACAUCGUAUGGCCUAAAUAAACUUUUCGGAAAUAAAAAUACCGUAUUUACUUCACAGUUUAAAAUUCCGAUACUAUAGCGUAUUGUUGAAUUUUAUUGGAAUUUUUUUCAUUGCCUGCUAUUUGUUCCAAAUUAUUUUCAAUAAAUGUUGAAAGAUCUAUGAUCUUAAUGAUACAGAAAAUAGCAGAAAUUCAUCGAUAAAGAGAUCAUUUACCGAGAUCAUUAUUGCAAUGCGAGUAAGAAGAGAAAAUUUAAAUACCCUCCUUCCUUGGUUUAUUCGAUUAUUCAUAAUCCAGAUGCAGAGCUAUGUUUGAAACUCAAAGCCUGUUACAGAAAAUACAUCGAGAGCUCAUUAGAAACUAGUGAAAUCCAUUUCCAUUGAAGUCGGGGAAUCUCCUGUCAAAGUAUGUUUUUCCAUCGCGGCUAAACGUUGAAAACCUCUCAUUAAAAUAUUAAUUAUAACCAAACAUUCAAUUGAUUUUUACCAUGAAAAAGAAAUUACAACUAACGACGUACCUAUAGUUAUAGUUACAGUAUAUAUAUUAUAGUAUAAUAUAGUUAUAGUUAUAUAUAUAUAUAUGUUAUAUGUUAUAUGUUAUAUGUUAUAUGUUAUAUAUAUAUAGUUAAUAUAUAUGUCAUAAUACAAUAUAGUUAUAGUUAUGGUAUAUAUAUUAUAGUAUAAUAUAGUUAUAGUUAUAGGAUAGGUUAAACACAUGACGUGUACGAAACUAGGAAAGUUCAUUUCACAGGUAGCAUAUACAUACUCGGGCUUAGAAUAGUUCCACGAGGUAAAAAGAAACACAAUUAAGUUGAUUGUAGAAGAGAAGAGAAAAUUGUAGAAGAGAAAACGUAGAAGAGAAAAUUGUAUUUCAGUUUUUUCAACUAUACUACGUCUGUCUGGAAAGUAUCCGAUCUGUGGAUAUAUCCUUUUACCUCGAUAUU